rnacentral:rRNA from 1 species
GGUUAAGCGACUAAGCGUACACGGUGGAUGCCCUGGCAGUCAGAGGCGAUGAAGGACGUGCUAAUCUGCGAUAAGCGUCGGUAAGGUGAUAUGAACCGUUAUAACCGGCGAUUUCCGAAUGGGGAAACCCAGUGUGAUUCGUCACACUAUCAUUAACUGAAUCCAUAGGUUAAUGAGGCGAACCGGGGGAACUGAAACAUCUAAGUACCCCGAGGAAAAGAAAUCAACCGAGAUUCCCCCAGUAGCGGCGAGCGAACGGGGAGCAGCCCAGAGCCUGAAUCAGUGUGUGUGUUAGUGGAAGCGUCUGGAAAGGCGCGCGAUACAGGGUGACAGCCCCGUACACAAAAAUGCACAUACUGUGAGCUCGAUGAGUAGGGCGGGACACGUGGUAUCCUGUCUGAAUAUGGGGGGACCAUCCUCCAAGGCUAAAUACUCCUGACUGACCGAUAGUGAACCAGUACCGUGAGGGAAAGGCGAAAAGAACCCCGGCGAGGGGAGUGAAAAAGAACCUGAAACCGUGUACGUACAAGCAGUGGGAGCCUCUUUUAUGGGGUGACUGCGUACCUUUUGUAUAAUGGGUCAGCGACUUAUAUUCUGUAGCAAGGUUAACCGAAUAGGGGAGCCGAAGGGAAACCGAGUCUUAACCGGGCGUUAAGUUGCAGGGUAUAGACCCGAAACCCGGUGAUCUAGCCAUGGGCAGGUUGAAGGUUGGGUAACACUAACUGGAGGACCGAACCGACUAAUGUUGAAAAAUUAGCGGAUGACUUGUGGCUGGGGGUGAAAGGCCAAUCAAACCGGGAGAUAGCUGGUUCUCCCCGAAAGCUAUUUAGGUAGCGCCUCGUGAAUUCAUCUCCGGGGGUAGAGCACUGUUUCGGCAAGGGGGUCAUCCCGACUUACCAACCCGAUGCAAACUGCGAAUACCGGAGAAUGUUAUCACGGGAGACACACGGCGGGUGCUAACGUCCGUCGUGAAGAGGGAAACAACCCAGACCGCCAGCUAAGGUCCCAAAGUCAUGGUUAAGUGGGAAACGAUGUGGGAAGGCCCAGACAGCCAGGAUGUUGGCUUAGAAGCAGCCAUCAUUUAAAGAAAGCGUAAUAGCUCACUGGUCGAGUCGGCCUGCGCGGAAGAUGUAACGGGGCUAAACCAUGCACCGAAGCUGCGGCAGCGACACUGUGUGUUGUUGGGUAGGGGAGCGUUCUGUAAGCCUGUGAAGGUGUACUGUGAGGUAUGCUGGAGGUAUCAGAAGUGCGAAUGCUGACAUAAGUAACGAUAAAGCGGGUGAAAAGCCCGCUCGCCGGAAGACCAAGGGUUCCUGUCCAACGUUAAUCGGGGCAGGGUGAGUCGACCCCUAAGGCGAGGCCGAAAGGCGUAGUCGAUGGGAAACAGGUUAAUAUUCCUGUACUUGGUGUUACUGCGAAGGGGGGACGGAGAAGGCUAUGUUGGCCGGGCGACGGUUGUCCCGGUUUAAGCGUGUAGGCUGGUUUUCCAGGCAAAUCCGGAAAAUCAAGGCUGAGGCGUGAUGACGAGGCACUACGGUGCUGAAGCAACAAAUGCCCUGCUUCCAGGAAAAGCCUCUAAGCAUCAGGUAACAUCAAAUCGUACCCCAAACCGACACAGGUGGUCAGGUAGAGAAUACCAAGGCGCUUGAGAGAACUCGGGUGAAGGAACUAGGCAAAAUGGUGCCGUAACUUCGGGAGAAGGCACGCUGAUAUGUAGGUGAAGUCCCUCGCGGAUGGAGCUGAAAUCAGUCGAAGAUACCAGCUGGCUGCAACUGUUUAUUAAAAACACAGCACUGUGCAAACACGAAAGUGGACGUAUACGGUGUGACGCCUGCCCGGUGCCGGAAGGUUAAUUGAUGGGGUCAGCGCAAGCGAAGCUCUUGAUCGAAGCCCCGGUAAACGGCGGCCGUAACUAUAACGGUCCUAAGGUAGCGAAAUUCCUUGUCGGGUAAGUUCCGACCUGCACGAAUGGCGUAAUGAUGGCCAGGCUGUCUCCACCCGAGACUCAGUGAAAUUGAACUCGCUGUGAAGAUGCAGUGUACCCGCGGCAAGACGGAAAGACCCCGUGAACCUUUACUAUAGCUUGACACUGAACAUUGAGCCUUGAUGUGUAGGAUAGGUGGGAGGCUUUGAAGUGUGGACGCCAGUCUGCAUGGAGCCGACCUUGAAAUACCACCCUUUAAUGUUUGAUGUUCUAACGUGGACCCGUGAUCCGGGUUGCGGACAGUGUCUGGUGGGUAGUUUGACUGGGGCGGUCUCCUCCUAAAGAGUAACGGAGGAGCACGAAGGUUGGCUAAUCCUGGUCGGACAUCAGGAGGUUAGUGCAAUGGCAUAAGCCAGCUUGACUGCGAGCGUGACGGCGCGAGCAGGUGCGAAAGCAGGUCAUAGUGAUCCGGUGGUUCUGAAUGGAAGGGCCAUCGCUCAACGGAUAAAAGGUACUCCGGGGAUAACAGGCUGAUACCGCCCAAGAGUUCAUAUCGACGGCGGUGUUUGGCACCUCGAUGUCGGCUCAUCACAUCCUGGGGCUGAAGUAGGUCCCAAGGGUAUGGCUGUUCGCCAUUUAAAGUGGUACGCGAGCUGGGUUUAGAACGUCGUGAGACAGUUCGGUCCCUAUCUGCCGUGGGCGCUGGAGAACUGAGGGGGGCUGCUCCUAGUACGAGAGGACCGGAGUGGACGCAUCACUGGUGUUCGGGUUGUCAUGCCAAUGGCACUGCCCGGUAGCUAAAUGCGGAAGAGAUAAGUGCUGAAAGCAUCUAAGCACGAAACUUGCCCCGAGAUGAGUUCUCCCUGACCCUUUAAGGGUCCUGAAGGAACGUUGAAGACGACGACGUUGAUAGGCCGGGUGUGUAAGCGCAGCGAUGCGUUGAGCUAACCGGUACUAAUGAACCGUGAGGCUUAACCUUACAACGCCGAAGGUGUUUUG